CCCCAACCCGUCCAGGCUGCUCUCUCUCCAGGGCAACAGCUGCAGGCCAGGCUGGAGGCCUGGCUCACAGGGACACAUGGUUUGAAGGAACAAUAUGGCGGCUGGGGCCAAGGGGGUGGAUCAGCAGCUGUGGUCACCAGCCUAGCAGGAAGGAGGGAGCCUUCCCUCUCCUGGGGAACCAGUCAAGCCAGCACCAACCACGUCCCCAUGGCAGCCGCCACGCCCGCUCGUGCUGUCACCCUCCUGACUACACCGACCUCGGAUUUGGCAGUAGGAGCGUGGGCAGCAGGCUGGGUGGAACGUGUUGAUACUGGCCUCUUGUCUAGAGGCCACAAGAUCAGAACCUGUUGGGGCUGAUGGCUCAUUUGGGUGUAUUGGGAGUGUGUGACCUUGGGUGAUGAGUCCUCUCCACUCCUGAGGCCUCAGUUUCCCCACAUUAGAAGGACGCAAACUAGCUAUUGGGGGAGGGAGGCUCUUCAACUUGUAUUGCAAUCAGCCCCCAUCCUGAAAUUGUAAGGGCGUGAGACUCUGGGACUCCUCAGCUUGAGAGUCUACAAGUAGUGGGUCCAAGAUUAUAUCUUUGGAACAUUCUAGAAUUUUCUAAUUUAGUUGGUGUAUUAGUCUGUUUUCCUGCCCUUUCUUCACUUUGUAUCCAACCCAAGUUCCCACCACCCUGGAAGCUCAGAGAAGGGAGCAAGUAGCGAAUGAGCCAGACUUUUGGGAGUCAUGUUUGGCAGUACCCCUGGCAGAUCUGACCAGCGUACCUCAGUUUCCUAACCUGUAAAAUGAGAAUGGUCCAGCGGCUUACUUCAUAGAAAUAUUGUGAACAUA